GAUGAACGCUGGCGGCGUGCUUAACACAUGCAAGUCGAACGGUGAACACGGAGCUUGCUCUGUGGGAUCAGUGGCGAACGGGUGAGUAACACGUGAGCAACCUGCCCCUGACUCUGGGAUAAGCGCUGGAAACGGCGUCUAAUACUGGAUAUGUGACGUGACCGCAUGGUCUGCGUUUGGAAAGAUUUUUCGGUUGGGGAUGGGCUCGCGGCCUAUCAGCUUGUUGGUGAGGUAAUGGCUCACCAAGGCGUCGACGGGUAGCCGGCCUGAGAGGGUGACCGGCCACACUGGGACUGAGACACGGCCCAGACUCCUACGGGAGGCAGCAGUGGGGAAUAUUGCACAAUGGGCGCAAGCCUGAUGCAGCAACGCCGCGUGAGGGAUGACGGCCUUCGGGUUGUAACCCUCUUUUAGCAGGGAAGAAGCGAAAGUGACGGUACCUGCAGAAAAAGCGCCGGCUAACUACGUG
rnacentral:rRNA from 1 species